rnacentral:rRNA from 1 species
GAUGAACGCUGGCGGCGUGCUUAACACAUGCAAGUCGAACGAUGAAAGCGGGAGCUUGCUCCUGCUGGAUUAGUGGCGAACGGGUGAGUAACACGUGAGCAAUCUGCCCCGAACUCUGGGAUAAGCGUUGGAAACGACGUCUAAUACCGGAUACGACGCGCGAAGGCAUCUUCUGCGCGUGGAAAGAACUUCGGUUCGGGAUGAGCUCGCGGCCUAUCAGCUAGUUGGUGAGGUAACGGCCCACCAAGGCGACGACGGGUAGCGGGCCUGGGAGGGGGACCGGCCACACUGGGACUGAGAGACGGCCCGGCCUCCAACGGGAGGCGGCAGUGGGGAAUAUUGCACAAUGGGCGCAAGCCUGAUGCAGCAACGCCGCGUGAGGGACGACGGCCUUCGGGUUGUAAACCUCUUUUAGUAGGGAAGAAGCGAAAGUGACGGUACCUGCAGAAAAAGCACCGGCUAACUACGUGCCAGCCGCCGCCGUAAAAC